AAAAAAAAAAAAAAAAAAAAAGUAAAAUCAUUGCUUUAAAUAUUAGUGUAAAUAUUAUUUUUAUAGCAGAGGUAAAGGGUUAGUUUAUAGUUUUAUUAGAAAUAUUUAUUAAAUUAGUUAAAUUUGUGCCAGCAUCUGCGGUUAGACUAAAAAUUUUACUAGUAUAAUUUAGAAUUUUGUAUUAUUGUAUAUUUUUGAAAUAAUUUUUGGUGAAAUAAAUUAUUUGAGUGUUAAUUAUAUUAGUCUGUAUAGUUUUAGUUAAAGCAGGAUUAGAUACCCUGUUAUUUUAAUUUUUAUUGUUUCUAAGUAGUAAAGUUAAAUUUAAAAGAUUUGGCGGCUAAAAUGAAUUAAAGGAGUUUGUUUUUUUAUUUGACGAGACACAUUAGGUUUUACUUGUUUUUUUUAGUAUACCGUCAUUUAAGUUAGUUUAUGGUUAAUUAACUAUCGUAAUGAAGUAAGAUAAGUUAGAUCAAGGUGCAGAUAUAGGCGAGGAAAAAUUAACUACAAUAAAUUAUUAUUAUACUUGGGGUUUUUAAAAUUAUUGUGUAGGUGGAUUUAAUUGUAAUUAAAGUAAUAUGAAAUUGUUUUUAGUGUACAAAUUGCCCGUCAUUCUCUAUGAGACAAGUCGAAACAAAGUAGGGCUAUCGGAAGUUGGACCUA
rnacentral:rRNA from 1 species